CAGUCGCCGCGGUAAUACGAAGGGUGCAAGCGUUAAUCGGAAUUACUGGGCGUAAAGCGUGCGUAGGCGGUUUGUUAAGUCUGUUGUGAAAUCCCCGGGCUCAACCUGGGAAUGGCAAUGGAUACUGGCAAGCUAGAGUGUGUCAGAGGAUGGUGGAAUUCCCGGUGUAGCGGUGAAAUGCGUAGAGAUCGGGAGGAACAUCAGUGGCGAAGGCGGCCAUCUGGGACAACACUGACGCUGAGGCACGAAAGCGUGGGGAGCAAACAGGAUUAGAUACCCCAGUAGUCCCUGUCUCUUAUAA
rnacentral:rRNA from 1 species